AUUGAACGCUGGCGGCAUGCCUUACACAUGCAGGUCGAACGGUAACAGGUCUUCGGAUGCUGACGAGUGGCGAGCGGGUGAGUAAUACAUCGGAACGUGCCUAGUAGUGGGGGAUAACUACUCGAAAGAGUGGCUAAUACCGCAUGAGAUCUACGGAUGAAAGCAGGGGAUCGCAAGACCUUGUGCUACUAGAGCGGCCGAUGGGAGAUUAGGUAGUUGGUGGGAUAAAAGCUUACCAAGCCGACGAUCCGUAGCUGGUCUGAGAGGACGAUCAGCCACACUGGGACUGAGACACGGCCCAGACUCCUACGGGAGGCAGCAGUGGGGAAUUUUGGACAAUGGGCGAAAGCCUGAUCCAGCAAUGCCGCGUGCAGGAUGAAGGCCUUCGGGUUGUAAACUGCUUUUGUACGGAACGAAAAGCUCUGGGUUAAUACCCUGGGGUCAUGACGGUACCGUAAGAAUAAGCACCGGCUAACUACGUGCCAGCAGCCGCGGUAAAAC
rnacentral:rRNA from 1 species